GAAUAUUGGUUAAUGUGCGAAAGCGCGAUCCAGCAACGCCGCGUGUGCGAUGAAGGCCUUCGGGUCGUAAAGCACUUUUUGCAGGGACGAGGAAGGACGGUACCUGCAGAAUAAGUCUCGGCUAACUACGUGCCAGCAGCCGCGGUAAAACGUAGGAGACGAGCGUUAUCCGGAUUUACUGGGCGUAAAGCGCGUGCAGGCGGCAUGGCAAGUUGGAUGUGAAAGCUCCCGGCUUAACUGGGAGAGGUCGUUCAAUACUGCCAAGCUUGAGAGUGGUAGAGGGAAGCGGAAUUCCGGGUGUAGUGGUGAAAUGCGUAGAUAUCCGGAGGAACACCAGUGGCGAAAGCGGCUUCCUGGUCCAUUUCUGACGCUCAGGCGCGAAAGCUAGGGUAGCAAACG
rnacentral:rRNA from 1 species